GGCGGACGGUCCGUAAAACGCGACGAGAACUGACUCCUGAAGAAGACCAGUCAACGAAGGUAUAAUGUUGAUCUAUGUCUAGAUUUAUUUGAAGUGUUACGGAAGCAUGUUGGGCCAUAUUUUGUUUAAUUGCAUGAUUUACUUUUUAAGGAUUAUUCUGUCUAGACUAAAACUGUAGUGGGGUAUUUGUUAUUUUGAAAAAAUAUAAGGGGUUGAUUUGUUAUUAAUAAAAAAGGGGAAUUGGA
rnacentral:lncRNA from 1 species